rnacentral:rRNA from 1 species
UACGUAGGGUGCAAGCGUUGUCCGGAAUUAUUGGGCGUAAAGAGCUCGUAGGCGGUCUGUCGCGUCGGCUGUGAAAUCCCGGAGCUCAACUCCGGGUCUGCAGUCGAUACGGGCAAACUGGAGUACUGCAGGGGAGACUGGAAUUCCUGGUGUAGCGGUAAAAUGCGCAGAUAUCAGGAGGAACACCGGUGGCGAAGGCGGGUCUCUGGGCAGUAACUGACGCUGAGGAGCGAAAGCGUGGGGAGCGAACAGG